CUAGUCACGGUCUCACUGAGUUGCAUAAUGCCUUGCUAAGUUGCUGAGGCUGACUUUGAACUCACAACCCUCCUUUCUCAGCCUCCUGAGCUGCUAGGAUUACAGGUGUGCACCACUGUGCCCAGCUAGAUAUUAUUUUAUCAGUGAAGUUUUAGGCUUGGUAUCUGUUACUCCUUUGUUCCUUUUUCCCUCUUAUAUAAUAACUGGAAAAAAGUAUACCUGUCCCAUGUCUUUCCUUAUAUUUGGAAUCAUGAACCUUGCUGAUUUCACAGGCUCUGGGCUGGAGAAGAAUUGUCCCCAUGUGACUCACACCUGGAGUCUUCUUCCCUGUGUCUGAUUCAGAUGAGACUCUGGUCCUUAGACUUUUCCUUUGGUGAUAGAAAAAAUUAGGACUUUGAGGAUAUUGAGACAGAAUAAAUGUAUUUUGCAUGGGAGAAUGACAUAGAUGUUGGGGACCAGAAAUUUUCACCAUGGAAAGCUGUGGUCUGAAUGUCCCUGGAAGUGCAUGUGGAAGAAAUAAUCUGCUAUGCAGCUGUGUUGGAAGACAGAACUAUUACUAGGCAAUUCUGUAAUGGGAGAACCGUCCUCAUGAAGGAGUUAGUGCCAUGAUCAUGGUGUGGGCUGGUUCUCUUGGGAGUUCCUGAUAAAGGAGUGGGCGAGGCACCUUCCCCUCUCUAUGCUGCACAUGAAAUCUUCUGCCUUUCCACCUUCCACCAUGAAAUGAUGCAGCAAGUUGGCCCUCACAGGAUGCUGGUGCCAUGACCUUGGGCCAUUGUAAGAAGUAAAUCUGUGCUUUAAAUAAAUCAAGGUACAUAUGAAAUACCAGUCUCUGGUAUUCUAUUAUAGGAGCAUAAAAUAGAUUAAUACAAUAUGACCAAUUUAAGUAACAUAAACUAUAGUUAUGAGCUUUUCUUCUUCCAUGCAUGAUGCUUUUCUUUUCCUUAUACAAGGGCAGUUUGUUUGCAUUCUUUUAAAAAUGCAUUUGAGCCUGGCACAGUGGUGCACACCUGUUAUCCCAGUGGUUUUGGAGGGAGAGGCAAGAGGAUAGCAAGUUCAAAGCCAGGCUCAGAAACUUAGGGAGGCCCCAAGAAACUUGGUGAGAGCCUGUCUUAAAAUAAACCAUAAAGAAAAGACUGGGGAUGUGGCUCAGUGGUUAGGCAUCCCUGGGUUCAGUCCUUGGUACCCAAACCAAAAAAUGCAAUUGAUUUUAUUUUAAAUUAAAACCACAUUUGAUUUACCCUGUAUGAAUGAGUUGGUCACAAUUAUUGGAAACAUAAACAAACAAAUAAAUAAAGGCUUAAAGAACAGGAUGUGUCUGAAGUCAUCCUAAAUCCAAUGAGGGGUUUCUUUGCACAGGCUCAUUUGAAGCACUGCUGUACUUAGUAGCUUACCUUAUGGAAGAAGAUUUUGCUAGGCAGAGAAUCUGCCUCUGAGUUCCCUCCAAAGUCAGAUGAAGCAGGGACAACUUUGCAAAUACCAUUGUGAACAACACCUCCUGGCAAACCUGGUGGCAUUUCGUCUGGUGCCUAAGGGGAGGCAGCAGCGUGGGAUGCUUUGAAACAGUCCCACCAUGCUGUUCUUGCUUCUUUGCUUUCACACAAAUCUCUAUGUGUUGGCAGCAUGGAGAGCCCCCCUUUGGGAGAGUCGACAGGCCGCGGCACAAGCCCAGGAGCAGGUUCCUCACCCCUGGGCAUGGCACCCACACAGCCGUCUCACGCUGAAGCAGGAUAUUUUUGCUUUCUUCCAGAAAACCUCCCACCUAACCGUAUAAUGCAUUCUCUGCCCUCAAGAAAAUGUGACAUGCGCAGCACCACCUGAGCGCAGAUCCGUUCGGCCUCUCAAUUCUUGGCCAGCGUUCAGGUAACAUUCUCUCCUGGAACGAGAUCUGCGUGCUGGCCGCCUGGGCUUGGCUCUGCCUGGGCUUGGGAAAGAGAGUCCCAGGGCUGAUGUCCCUCUCCUCUGACCAGGCCACCCGCUGGCUCACUCUGGACAGCAGUGCAGCCAGCGCUCUCCUUCCUCACCACCGCCUCUCACUCCCAGUCCCUGCUCUUCAGCAACUUGGCCUGGCUGGCCCCUCCUCAGCAGGACCCAUGGGCUCACUCCUCCUGCUGUGGGAGGAGUCAUUCGUCAUCACUGGGGGGCGCGAGGGAGGUGGAAGGGCUGAAGCCCCACACCACGCCUUCCCGCAUCCCUGCCAGGACUGUCUACCUUCUAUGAAUGCUCAAUACGGACCUUUCAAAUUACCACGAUAUUGGUUUAAUUGUCCCCAAACAUUAUUUUUAGGUGAUUAAAGGAAUUGCUAAUGGAUUUUGGUUUUGUUGCAACAAUCACAAAGAUCAAUUGUGUAUAUGUCAAACUACUGCAUAGGUCAAAAAUAAAUGUCACUUACCUUU